ACGGUGGCUUGCCAGAACAACCCACUUGCUCCAGUCACAUGGAUCACAGGUUGACCUCGAAUCAGGUAGGAAUACCCGCUGAACUUAAGCAUAUCAAUAAGCGGAGGAAAAGAAACCAACCGGGAUUACCUCAGUAACGGCGAGUGAAGCGGUAACAGCUCAAAUUUGAAAUCUGGCUCCUGCGGAGUCCGAGUUGUAAUUUGUAGAAGAUGCUUUGGGUUGUGGGUUCGGCCUAAGUUCCUUGGAACAGGACGUCAUAGAGGGUGAGAAUCCCGUAUGUGGCCGAGGCCCGCGCCUAUGUAAAGCUCUUUCAACGAGUCGAGUUGUUUGGGAAUGCAGCUCAAAAUGGGUGGUAAAUUUCAUCUAAAGCUAAAUAUGGGCCAGAGACCGAUAGCGCACAAGUAGAGUGAUCGAAAGAUGAAAAGCACUUUGGAAAGAGAGUUAAACAGUACGUGAAAUUGUUGAAAGGGAAGCGCUUGCAACCAGACUUGGGCGCUGCCGAUCACCCCGAGUUCUCUCAGGUGCACUCGACAGCGCGCAGGCCAGCAUCGGUUCGGGUGGCUGGAUAAAGGCCGUAGGAACGUAGCUCCCUCCGGGGAGUGUUAUAGCCUACGGUGCCAUGCAGCCCAGCCGGACCGAGGACCGCGCCUUCGGGCUAGGAUGCUGGCGUAAUGGUUGUAAGCGACCCGUCUUGAAACACGGACCAAGGAGUCUAACAUCUAUGCGAGUGUUUGGGUGGCAAACCC
rnacentral:rRNA from 1 species